AGAAGAUAGAUCUGAAAGGGUUCAUCCAAUAGCUGGCAGCAUUCCCCAGAUUUUUGACUACUCUGUCAUAGAAAUGCUCCAGUGACAGGACCUGUGCCUGAGAGGGCUGAAUGCAGUGGUCUGAAGCGAGACUAUUGAGUCACCUGACAGAGGAGCAGUUUGCAUCAGCACUCAAGAUGCACAGCAACGAGAAGCUCAGGCUGUGCCUCUCUGUGGAAGGUCCACACAUAAAGCAGGGAAACUAAA